UGUUGAAAAAUUAGCGGAUGACUUGUGGCUGGGGGUGAAAGGCCAAUCAAACCGGGAGAUAGCUGGUUCUCCCCGAAAGCUAUUUAGGUAGCGCCUCGUGAAUUCAUCUCCGGGGGUAGAGCACUGUUUCGGCAAGGGGGUCAUCCCGACUUACCAACCCGAUGCAAACUGCGAAUACCGGAGAAUGUUAUCACGGGAGACACACGGCGGGUGCUAACGUCCGUCGUGAAGAGGGAAACAACCCAGACCGCCAGCUAAGGUCCCAAAGUCAUGGUUAAGUGGGAAACGAUGUGGGAAGGCCCAGACAGCCAGGAUGUUGGCUUAGAAGCAGCCAUCAUUUAAAGAAAGCGUAAUAGCUCACUGGUCGAGUCGGCCUGCGCGGAAGAUGUAACGGGGCUAAACCAUGCACCGAAGCUGCGGCAGCGACACUAUGUGUUGUUGGGUAGGGGAGCGUUCUGUAAGCCUGUGAAGGUGGCCUGUGAGGGUUGCUGGAGGUAUCAGAAGUGCGAAUGCUGACAUAAGUAACGAUAAAGCGGGUGAAAAGCCCGCUCGCCGGAAGACCAAGGGUUCCUGUCCAACGUUAAUCGGGGCAGGGUGAGUCGACCCCUAAGGCGAGGCCGAAAGGCGUAGUCGAUGGGAAACAGGUUAAUAUUCCUGUACUUGGUGUUACUGCGAAGGGGGGACGGAGAAGGCUAUGUUGGCCGGGCGACGGUUGUCCCGGUUUAAGCGUGUAGGCUGGUUUUCCAGGCAAAUCCGGAAAACCAAGGCUGAGGCGUGAUGA
rnacentral:rRNA from 1 species